CCACAGCACUGACUAACACAGCCGAGCUCCGCUUCAAGAUAGGAAAAAUGAGAAGAGAGUUACCAGCCUAGCCCGCUGCAGGAGAGGAUUGGCUCCAGCACAUGGAGGUCACUGUCUGACUUCCUGUGUCGCCCAGCACCCAGCAUCCCUUCACUGACCUCCUGCGUCAGCCUGGCCCUUCACAGGGGCUGGCGCUGCCCUUCCGUGAGCGAGCGCAGGUGCCCCACGCUCACUCUCACUCGGCGGCAGUGGAGUCCCUGAGCCGGAGCUGCAGGCGGUUGUGAACCGUGCAUACGGUGCUAGGAAUUGAACUCGGGCCCUCUCUAAGAGCAGUACUCCCCGGGUCUGCACUGCUAAGCCACUUCUCCAGCUUCUGGGAUGAGUUAUUCUAGAGUGGCACUCUGCCCCUCCCCUUAGCAAUCAGACAAUCUGCCCCAAGGAACGGGGAUUCCCCCCCCCCCAGACUGGGAGAAAGAAGAGACUGAAGCUGGGAGGCUACUCAAGAGGGGGAGCAUGUCUCCCAGAAAGAGGCUUCACACAGUCCUGACAGCUUGUCAGAUCACCUUAUGGGAGAGACUGAAGCGGAGACAAUGAUGGGUCCGUGAUGGGCAGGGCCACACCGGAACGGGGACCAUUUGGGUGCACCUUCUUCUUGGCCUUUGUUUAAACUUAAACUUCAUGUCAGGGAACUUCAUAACAUGAGGGAGGGGAGGCCGCUGGGCCCCUUCAUUUGUUCUUCUUUUGAAUAAAUCUCCUUUUCCUGCU